AACGAACGCUGGCGGCAGGCCUAACACAUGCAAGUCGAACGCCCUGGCAACAGGGAGUGGCAGACGGGUGAGUAACGCGUGGGAACGUGCCCUUCGAUUCGGAAUAACUCAGGGAAACGUCAGCUAAUACCGAAUACGUGCGAGAGCAGAAAGAUUUAUCGCCAAAGGAUCGGCCCGCGUCCGAUUAGCUAGUUGGUGAGGAAAUGGCUCACCAAGGCGACGAUCGGUAGCUGGUCUGAGAGGAUGAUCAGCGACACUGGGACUGAGACACGGCCCAGACUCCUACGGGAGGCAGCAGUGGGGAAUAUUGGACAAUGGGCGCAAGCCUGAUCCAGCCAUGCCGCGUGAGUGAUGAAGGCCCUAGGGUUGUAAAGCUCUUUCGCCAGGGACGAUAAUGACGGUACCUGGAUAAGAAGCCCCGGCUAACUUCGUGCCAGCCGCCGCGGUAA
rnacentral:rRNA from 1 species